CCUACGGGUGGCAGCAGUGGGGGAUAUUGCACAAUGGGGGAAACCCUGAUGCAGCGACGCCGCGUGUGGGAAGACGGUCCUCUGGAUUGUAAACCACUGUCCCCAGGGACGAAGAUGACGGUACCUGGGGAGGAAGCCCCGGCUAACUCCGUGCCAGCAGCCGCGGUAAUACGAAGGGAGCGAGCGUUGUCCGGAAUUACUGGGGGAAAAGGGAGCGUAGGCGGGGAGGAAGGUUGGGUGUAAAACCUACCGGCUAAACUGGUAGUCGCACUCAAAACUGCAGCUCUUGAGUGAAGUAGAGGCAGGCGGAAUUCCUAGUGUAGGGGUGAAAUGCGUAGAUAUUAGGAGGAACACCAGUGGCGAAGGCGGCCUGCUGGGCUUUUACUGACGCUGAGGCUCGAAAGUGUGGGGAGCAAACAGGAUUAGAUACCCCGGUAGUC
rnacentral:rRNA from 1 species